rnacentral:rRNA from 1 species
CACGGGGGGAGCAAGCGUUGUUCGGAAUCACUGGGCGUAAAGGGCGUGUAGGCGGUCAGGUUAGUGAGAUGUGAAAUGCCCCGGCUCACCCGGGGACCUGCACCUCAAACUGCCUGGCUUGAGUAUGGGAGAGGAUGAGGGAAUUUCUGGUGUAGCGGUGAAAUGCGUAGAUAUCAGGAGGAACACCGGUGGCGAAGGCGGCUUGCUGGGCCUUACCUGACGCUGAGGAGCGAAAGCGUGGGGAGCGAACAGG